GAACGAACGCUGGCGGCAGGCUUAACACAUGCAAGUCGAACGGACGUAGCAAGUACGUUAGUGGCGCACGGGUGAGUAACACGUGGGAUAUCUGCCUUUUGUUCGGGAGUAACCCUGGGAACUAGGGCUAAUACCGAAUGGUUCCUACGGGAUAAAGAUUUAUCGCCAAAAGAUGAGUCCGGCGUCCGGAUUAGCUAGUUGGUGAGGUAAUGGCUCACCAAGGCGACGAUCGGUAGCUGGUCUGAGAGGACGAUCAGCCACACUGGGACUGAGACACGG
rnacentral:rRNA from 1 species